GGCGCUGCGCUAACCGCAAGGAGGCAGGCGACCACGGUAGGGUCAGCGACUGGGGUGAAGUCGUAACAAGGUAGCCGUAGGGGAACCUGCGGCUGGAUCACCUCCUUUCUAAGG
rnacentral:rRNA from 1 species